rnacentral:lncRNA from 1 species
UUCUUGUUACAGCAGCUGUAAAGCUGACUAAAACAAAGGCCCCAGGUUCAAACCCCAGCACUACAAAAUAAAGAAGCAUGAAGAUUAACAUCUCAUUUUAAGAAAAUGAUUUCACAGAAAUUAUCCCACACAGAGCUGUUGGAAUUACUGGGGGAUGAUUUCAAAGGAAAUUUUCUUCUCUAAACAUUCUUAUCCCAAGGGAUAAUCUCUCCAAGGAAGUCAAAAGGAAAGGAAGAGGCAGACGGGGCCUGGGGCUCCCUAAGGGCUGUGAUCCCAGACUUCUACAGAACACUGCAACAUGCCACCUCUGUCUUAGCUACAUCAAGCAGAAUUUGGGCUCUAAGAAGACUGGAGUGCAUCCAUACAGAGCACAAAUCCCUUCUCCAAGAAGGAAACCACAGAGCUUAUCAAGAAAGAUCUGUGCCUCUGUGCCAGGCAGCAACAGCCCUGC